rnacentral:rRNA from 1 species
AUGCCUUACAAUGAGCGGUACACACCGUACAUCAAGCAGGCAGGACUACUCCCAUGGAUUCUAUUGGUCAGCCGGUCCAUGCCGAAUCUGAACGCUCCACUGGUGUCCGCUCUUGUUGAUUGGUGGAGGCCGUAGAUGCACAGUUUCCAUCUUCGGACUGGGGAGAUGACCGUGACGCUCAAGGAUGUCUCGUUGAUCACCGGUCUUGCUAUUGACGGGAGGCCUCUUUGUAUGAGCACUGAUUCUGAUGGGUGGCGCGAGCAGAUGAUUGCUCUUAUCAGUAUGGCUCCUACCGAGGUUGAGGCUGAUGUGGAGGAGGGAGAAGAGAAGAAGAAGAGGGAAAGGAAAGCAGCUGGAGCUGCUUUCACGUGGAUUCAAAAUAACUUUGCGACGUGCCCUCUGGAUGCCACUGAUGAUGUGAUCCAGACACAUGCUCGUGUGUAUAUGUGGUACGUUGUGUCGAGGACUUUGUUUCCUGACUCCACUAGUAAGACGCUCUAA